UUAAGGAACUCGGCAACUUAACACCGUAACUUCGGGAAAAGGUGAGCCCCAGUAGGUGUAGGAAUUUACUUCUGAAGCCAGUUGGGGUCGCAGAGAGUUGGGAGUAGCGACUGUUUAUCAAAAACACAGGCAUGUGCAAAGUCACAAGACGAAGUAUACGUGCUGACGCCUGCCCGGUGCUGGAAGGUUAAGAGGAUUUGUCAGCGUAAGCGAAGCAGAGAAUCGAAGCCCCAGUAAACGGCGGCCGUAACAAUAACGGUCCUAAGGUAGCGAAAUUCCUUGUCGGGUAAGUUCCGACCUGCACGAAUGGCGUAACGACUUCUCCGGUGUCUCAACCAAGGGCCUCGCGAAAUUGAAUUCUCGGUGGAAAUGCCGGGUACCCGCAGAAAGACGGAAAGACCCCGUGAACCUUUACUGUAGCUUGACAGUGAUUUUAGAGUUUUCAUGUGUAGGAUAGGUGGGAGUCUUUGAAGCCAGGUCGCUAGACUUGGUGGAGACAACCUUGAAAUACCACCCUUGGAAACUUUGAGAUCUAACCUGCUCCUUUUAUCGAGGAGAGGGACACUGUCUGGUGGGCAGUUUGACUGGGGCGGUCGCCUCCUAAAAAGUAACGGAGGCGCGCGAUGGUCCCCUCAGCCUGAUUGGAAACCAGGCGUCGAGUGCAUUGGCAUAAGGGGGCUUGACUGCGAGACCUACAAGUCGAGCAGGUGCGAAAGCAGGCCAAAGUGAUCCGGUGGUCCCGCGUGGAAGGGCCAUCGCUCAACGGAUAAAAGGUACUCCGGGGAUAACAGGCUUAUUCCAUCCAAGAGUCCAUAUCGACGAUGGAGUUUGGCACCUUGAUGUCGGCUCAUCACAUCCUGGGGCUGGAGCAGGUCCCAAGGGUUUAGCUGUUCGCUAAUUAAAGUGGUACGCGAGCUGGGUUCAGAACGUCGUGAGACAGUUUGGUCCUUAUCUUCUGUGGGCGUAAGAAAUUUGAACAGAUCUGUCCUUAGUACGAGAGGACCGGGAUGGACGAACCUCUGGUGUUCCUGUUGUUCUGCCAAGAGCAAUGCAGGGUAGCUAUGUUCGGAAUGGAUAACCGCUGAAAGCAUCUAAGCGGGAAGCCAACUGUAAGAUAAGAUUUCUCUGGGGCUUCGGCCCCCUAAAGACUCCUCGGAGACUACGAGGUUGAUAGGCAUAAAGUGUACAUACAGUAAUGUAUUCAGCUUAUAUGUACUAAUAGGUCGUGAGGCUUUCU
rnacentral:rRNA from 1 species